CAGGGCUCCUCAAACGCUCCAUCCCUGCUAGUCCCAAACAUCUGUAUCAGGACCCAGGACAACGCGCCCACAGGUGACCCGAGUCUCUGGAAUCAUCCUCUCUACAGCAACAGGCUCUAUUUAAUUAUGGUUUUCCUAUCCGCGCCCCGAAGGAGGCUGCAAGAGAGGGCCGGCGGGGCCAGGCGCGAGGAGCCGAGCCUGUCAGGCCGGGUCGGCCGAGAGCUGGGGGCUCGUGGUGGCAGGGGCGACGCCGGAGCAGGGCAACGACGCUGGAGAAGGAAGGCGCUCGCCCCGGGCCGCUGCCGCAGGUGCCCCGCUAAGGACGUAGGAGAGCCCGCAGGCCAGACCCGGGUCCAGGGAAGGGGUCGAGAUAACAACUCUUCUCCAAGGAAUCAUGUGCUGGAGGGGAAGGUUGGGUCUGCUCUGCAUCUAUGUGAGUGUUUGAGGCAUCCUAGUAGAAUGAUAAUCUCAUCUAGUAAAGUGGUAUCUCCUGGUAAUUUUAAUUUGCAGUUCCCUAAUAGCUAGUGAUG